GUUGAAACACCGGUUCCCAUACGAACAGCGAAGUUAAACAACGUCGAUCCCGGUCAGUAUGUAGACGGGUGACCGCUUGGGAAUAUCAGGUGGCGUAAG